AAUGGGCGCAAGCCUGAUCCAGCAAUGCCGCGUGUGUGAAGAAGGCCUGCGGGUUGUAAAGCACUUUCAGUGGGGAAGAACGGAUGCGGGCCAAUACCCCGGAUCACUGACGUUACCCACAGAAGAAGCACCGGCUAACUCCGUGCCAGCAGCCGCGGUAAUACGGAGGGUGCAAGCGUUAAUCGGAAUUACUGGGCGUAAAGCGCGCGUAGGCGGUGACUUAAGCGAAAUGUGAAAUCCCCGGGCUCAACCUGGGCGUGGCAUUUCGAACUGGGUGACUGGAGUUUUGGAGAGGAGAGUGGAAUUCCCGGUGUAGCGGUGAAAUGCGUAGAGAUCGGGAGGAACAUCAGUGGCGAAGGCGGCUCUCUGGCCAAAAACUGACGCUGAGGCGCGAAAGCGUGGGGAUCAAA
rnacentral:rRNA from 1 species